rnacentral:rRNA from 1 species
UAGGGAAUCUUCGGCAAUGGACGAAAGUCUGACCGAGCAACGCCGCGUGAGUGAAGAAGGUUUUCGGAUCGUAAAACUCUGUUGUUAGAGAAGAACAAGGACGUUAGUAACUGAACGUCCCCUGACGGUAUCUAACCAGAAAGCCACGGCUAACUACGUGCCAGCAGCCGCGGUAAUACGUAGGUGGCAAGCGUUGUCCGGAUUUAUUGGGCGUAAAGCGAGCGCAGGCGGUUUCUUAAGUCUGAUGUGAAAGCCCCCGGCUCAACCGGGGAGGGUCAUUGGAAACUGGGGGACUUGGGUGCAGGAGAGGAGAGUGGAAUUCCAUGUGGAGCGGUGAAAUGCGUAGGUAUAUGGAGGAACACCAGUGGCGAAGGCGGCUCUCUGGUCUGUAACUGACGCUGAGGCUCGAAAGCGUGGGGAGCAAACAGG